rnacentral:tRNA from 1 species
UUUCACAUAUUUUAUAUAGAAUUUAAUAUUGAAGAUAUUAAGGUGAAAGAUUUUUCUGUGAAU